GGAACGGGUGAGUAACGCGUGAGGAACCUGCCUCAAAGAGGGGGACAACAGUUGGAAACGACUGCUAAUACCGCAUAAGCCCACGGUGCCGCAUGGCACAGAGGGAAAAGGAGCAAUCCGCUUUGAGAUGGCCUCGCGUCCGAUUAGCUAGUUGGUGAGGUAACGGCCCACCAAGGCGACGAUCGGUAGCCGGACUGAGAGGUUGAACGGCACAUUGGGACUGAGACACGGCCCAG
rnacentral:rRNA from 1 species